rnacentral:rRNA from 1 species
UACAGAGGGUGCAAGCGUUGUUCGGAAUUAUUGGGCGUAAAGCGCGUGUAGGCGGCUCUGCAAGUCGGGUGUGAAAUCCCUCAGCUUAACUGAGGAAGUGCGCCCGAAACUGCAGAGCUUGAGUACCGGAGAGGGUGGCGGAAUUCCCCAAGUAGAGGUGAAAUUCGUAGAUAUGGGGAGGGACACCGGUGGCGAAGGCGGCCACCUGGACGGAUACUGACGCUGAGACGCGAAAGCGUGGGGAGCGAACGGG